CGACCUGCACGAAUGGCGUAAUGAUGGCCAGGCUGUCUCCACCCGAGACUCAGUGAAAUUGAACUCGCUGUGAAGAUGCAGUGUACCCGCGGCAAGACGGAAAGACCCCGUGAACCUUUACUAUAGCUUGACACUGAACAUUGAGCCUUGAUGUAUAGGAUAGGUGGGAGGCUUUGAAGUGUGGACGCCAGUCUGCAUGGAGCCGACCUUGAAAUACCACCCUUUAAUGUUUGAUGUUCUAACGUUGACCCGUAAUCCGGGUUGCGGACAGUGUCUGGUGGGUAGUUUGACUGGGGCGGUCUCCUCCUAAAGAGUAACGGAGGAGCACGAAGGUUGGCUAAUCCUGGUCGGACAUCAGGAGGUUAGUGCAAUGGCAUAAGCCAGCUUGACUGCGAGCGUGACGGCGCGAGCAGGUGCGAAAGCAGG
rnacentral:rRNA from 1 species